UACGUAGGGGGCGAGCGUUGUCCGGAUUUAUUGGGCGUAAAGCGCGCGUAGGCGGCUCGGAAAGUCGGUCGUGAAAUGCCGGGGCUCAACCCCGGGACUGCGUCCGAUACUUCCGGGCUGGAGGUAGGUAGGGGAGAUCGGAAUUCCUGGUGUAGCGGUGAAAUGCGCAGAUAUCAGGAGGAACACCGGUGGCGAAGGCGGAUCUCUGGGCCUUACCUGACGCUGAGGCGCGAAAGCUAGGGGAGCGAACAGG
rnacentral:rRNA from 1 species